CCUAUAUGUCUGCUCACAGUCCAGUCCAGUCCUAGCCAUGUUUACUCAGAAGUGAGUCCCACUGAGCUCAGUGGAACUUACUCCCAGGAGAUAUGAGAACAUGAUAUGGAACAAGUUAUACCAGAUGAAGUUUGAGCCAACCUAUGGAGCAAACAACCAGUUAAAUCUACCUCCAUGAUAGCCAAGGAGCGCUCUCUGAAAUUGUUCUUUUAAUGAACGAAUUGUGAUUUCCAGCUUAUUUGUCUAAAUGCCCUGUGGUUACAGAAGAAGAGACUUUUUGUUGGGGCCUUCUCAGAUGAUGCUAUUAUCAUAUGGUACACUAGUAUAUCGGGACUGGGCUGGUGAGCCAAGGCAGCUGUUGGAUGAGAAAGGAACCUGCAGCUGUGGACAAAGCCCCUAGUCAGGACCAAAGAGAAAGAACUGAAGGACAAACCAGGAGACAGGAGCAAGGAGCAAGUCAGAAAUCAGGAUGAAAGGACAACCGAGGGAUAAAUAAAACACACUUUUCAUAGUUCACAUUACAUGUCUAACCACAGACACCUCCCUUACGCAUCGUGCUUAAAGUCUGCAGUCACAAUGGCUAGCCGUGAAACAUAGGACAUGGGCAUUUUACUUUUCACCUAACAACAUUCUUAGAAAAACUGUUCCCUCAUCUUAUUUGCAUUCCUAUGUAAGAAACUAUCACUUUAUAUUUAGAGAUUGCAGUCAGUCAAUCUUCCUAGAGACCAGAACACGAGGCAUGUGAGAGCACUUUAGAAUGCCAAUUUAAAAGGUGUUAAGUACAAUAUAUGUCUGGGCCCUACCUACAAAUGUAGUGCCAGUAGUCAGCGUUGCUUAUUAUGACACCCUUCCCCCACUCAAAUGCCUUUUUUGAUGUGCAGGAAAGGAAAGCAAUUAUGAUGUACUGAGAAUGGGACAGGAUGAUAAAUUGUUUAGCACCAGUGUAGCCCUUCUGUUCCCCCGUUGCCCAGGAAUGGUUGUAUCUCUAUUUUAUAGGUCAUUAAAUCCAUCAUUUUUUUCUUUCCUGGCAUCAAU